CUUGGUGUUCUGUGUGGAGCUGUGGCAGCCAUCUUAUCACCAUGAGGGGAAAGUGAAGAGGAUAAUUGAGAAUCCAACUGAGGGCCCUACCUCCACUGAGCUGCUGAAUUUGCCAACUCUACAACCUCUAAUUCCAGGAUGCCAGCAUCCUUGGAUGGGCCCCAGGGGUCCCCCAGCAGCUCCUGGAGUGGACUGUGCUGUCAGCAGACGUGUUUAUGUACACCUGAACAAGGAAGCUCAGAGGUAAAAUUAUACAUGAUUCAACUAAACAACUAGAGUUCAAGGAUGAAACCUGCUUUUAUUCUGCCUUCUAACCAGACUGAUUGAUGGUGCUGAG